GAUGAACGCUAGCGGCAGGCUUAAUACAUGCAAGUCGUACGGGAUCCGAGGUAGCAAUACUUUGGUGAGAGUGGCGCACGGGUGCGUAACACGUAUGCAACCUACCUAUAACCGGGACACAACCUCGAGAAAUUGAGGCUAAUAUCCCAUAACACUGCGAGAUGGCAUCAUUUGCAGUUAAAACUCCGGUGGUUAUAGAUGGGCAUGCGCGACAUUAGCUAGUUGGUGAGGUAACGGCCCACCAAGGCUACGAUGUCUAGGGGUUCUGAGAGGAUUAUCCCCCACACUGGUACUGAGACACGGACCAGACUCCUACGGGAGGCAGCAGUAAGGAAUAUUGGUCAAUGGGCGCAAGCCUGAACCAGCCAUGCCGCGUGAAGGAUGACGGCCCUAUGGGUUGUAAACUUCUUUUGUACGGGAAAAAACCUCUGGUCGAGAAUCAGAGCUGAUGGUACCGUAAGAUAAGCAUCGGCUAACUCCGUGCCAGCAGCCGCGGUAAU
rnacentral:rRNA from 1 species